UUUUAUGGAUGAGUAAAGAAAGUGGUUUGUUGAGAUGAAAUCUACGCCUGGUAAACAUGCUGUGAA
rnacentral:pre_miRNA from 1 species